rnacentral:rRNA from 1 species
GUGGGGAAUCUUGCGCAAUGGGCGAAAGCCUGACGCAGCCAUGCCGCGUGGAUGAUGAAGGUCUUAGGAUUGUAAAAUCCUUUCACCGGUGAAGAUAAUGACUGUAGCCGGAGAAGAAGCCCCGGCUAACUUCGUGCCAGCAGCCGCGGUAAUACGAAGGGGGCUAGCGUUGCUCGGAAUUACUGGGCGUAAAGGGAGCGUAGGCGGACAUUUAAGUCAGGGGUGAAAUCCCGAGGCUCAACCUCGGAACUGCCUUUGAUACUGGGUGUCUUGAGUUUGGGAGAGGUGAGUGGAACUCCGAGUGUAGAGGUGAAAUUCGUAGAUAUUCGGAAGAACACCAGUGGCGAAGGCGACUCACUGGCCCAAUACUGACGCUGAGGCGCGAAAGCGUGGGGAGCAAACAGGAUUAGAUACCCUUGUAGUCC